rnacentral:tRNA from 1 species
GAGGAUGUAGCUCAGUAGUAGAGUGUGUGCUUAGUGUGCACAAGGUCCUGGGUUCAAUCCUUGGUACCUCCA